rnacentral:tRNA from 2 species
AUUUAAAUAGUUUAAUAAAAAUAUUGAUUUGUGGAAUCAAAGUUAUAGUCAUUUAUUUUAAAUA